rnacentral:lncRNA from 1 species
UGCUAUCUGUACUUGUGGAAGCAGGAGACAACUGUAAGGAGAAGAAACCUCAUUGGCUCUUUAAUUUGCUCUUGCAGGGAAAAUAUAGAGAACGCAGGAAAACACCCAGAUUGAGAUUUGGCUGCCCAAGCUGCAAAUACUUAGGAAACCAAACAACUGGCCUGACCUCAAGCACAACCCAAAUUCUCGAACCUCAUAUAAAGUGUGAACCUAAGAUACUUAAGAGAAGCCACUAAUUUCUGGUUCAGAGUGAAAAUAAGGGCACCUACAAAACAGGGAGAGUGAGGAAAAAAAAUCUCAACAACUUGCAAAGGAAAAGAAAAUCAACAGACAGCAUACAAGAUAACAAAGAUGUUGAAAUUAUCAGACAAAGACUUUAAAGCAGUUGUUAUAAUCAUACUCAGGAAGUAAGGGCAAAUGCUCUUGAAACAAGGGAAAUAUAGAAAGUCUCAGUAGAAAAAUAAAAGCUAUAAAAAUAAUGGAGAGGAAUAUUAUAAAUAAAAACAAUAAUAACCAAAACAAAAAUUUCACUUGAUGCGUACAAAGUAAUUUCCAGAGGAAAGAGUCAGUAAACUUGAAGAUAGAUCAGUACAGAGUAUCUAACCUGAAAAAUGGAGAAGAAAAAUGAAGAAAAAAACAGAAUAGAGCCUAAGGAAACUAUGAGAAAAGACCCCAAAAUUUAACUUCUGCAUUGCUGGAGUAUCAGAUGGAGAGGAGAAGGAGUGUGGUACAGAAAAAAUAUUUGAAUAAAUAAUAUCUAAAAAUUUUCUAAUUUGGCAAAUGAUAUAAAUUUGCAUAUUCAAAAAACCCCAGUCCAGUGAACUCAAAACAGAAAAAAACAAAGAAAUGCAUGCAAAGACACAUUAUAAUCAAACUGAUGAGAACAAAAGACAAUAGAAAAAAAUAUCGAAAGCUGCCAAAAAUAAAUAAAUAAAUAAAAUAAAGAUGAAUGUUACCUAUAGGAUAACAACAAUUCAAAUUACUGCUGACUUGUCAUAAUGAACCAUGGAGGCUUUAAAGUAGUGGAACAUUUUUUAAAUGCUGAAAGCAAAACAGAUUCUGCCAACAACAACAACAUACCCUGCCAACUCAAAGUUCUGUAUACAGCAACUAUCUUUCAGGAAUGAAGUUGAAAUGAAAAUAUUCUCAGAUAAAAGAAAACAAAUAGAAUCUAUGACCAGCAUUAGGAGUGAAAGAAGACUAACAGAAAUGGAGUUGGGAUCUUUUCUGUUGUGUCUCAGAACUUCAGGGUUAAGACCCUUCCUGGGUGAUGGAUAAAGGAAGUCAUUGUCCAGAUGAAAGACUCAUGAACUUGGAGACAGGAAUGAAGCCAUUGAAGCAACUUGGACGUCGGGAAUUCACUGAAGACCAGACUAAAGAGGGGCUUGUUCUAAUAGAAAUUCAUCUAAAAAGUUGGAGAUUCUGUAGAAGAUCUGAUGAAGAGGGCCAAUCACUGAGGAAAAAUGGAUAGCAUCCUAAAACAGUGGGUAGUAAGGGAACCGGUAUGUCUGAUCUUUUAAAG